rnacentral:rRNA from 1 species
UACGUAGGGUGCGAGCGUUAAUCGGAAUUACUGGGCGUAAAGCGUGCGCAGGCGGUUCGUUGUGUCGGUGGUGAAAUCCCCGGGCUUAACCUGGGAAUGGCCAUGGAAACUGGCGAACUGGAGUGCGGCAGAGGGGGGUGGAAUUCCACGUGUAGCAGUGAAAUGCGUAGAGAUGUGGAGGAACACCGAUGGCGAAGGCAGCCCCCUGGGUCAAAACUGACGCUCAUGCACGAAAGCGUGGGGAGCAAACAGG